GAUGAAGAACGCAGCGAAAUGCGAUAAGUAAUGUGAAUUGCAGAAUUCAGUGAAUCAUCGAAUCUUUGAACGCACAUUGCGCCCAUUAGCAUUCUAGUGGGCAUGCCUGUUCGAGCGUCAUUUCAACCCUUAAGCCCUGUUGCUUAGCGUUGGGAGCCUACAGUACUGUAGCUCCCCAAAGUUAGUGGCGGAGUCGGUUUCACACUCUAGACGUAGUAAUUUUUUCUCGUCUGUAGUUGAGCCGGUCCCCUGCCGUAAAACACCCAAUUUAUCAAGGUUGACCUCGGAUCAGGUAGGAAUACCCGCUGAACUUAAGCAUAUCAUAAGCGGAGGA
rnacentral:misc_RNA from 1 species